rnacentral:rRNA from 1 species
CCUACGGGGGUCAGCAGUGGGGAAUAUUGCGCAAUGGGCGAAAGCCUGACGCAGCGACGCCGCGUGAGGGAUGAAGGUCUUCGGAUCGUAAACCUCUGUCAGCAGGGAAGAACGGUCACUGUGCUAUUCAGCAGUGAAUUGACGGUACCUGCACAGGAAGCACCGGCUCACUCAGUGCCAGCAGCCGCGGUAGUACGGCGGGUGCGACCGUGCAUCGGAAUUACUGGGCGUAAAGCGCUCGUAGGCGGUCUGUCAAGUCAAGGGUGAAUUCCCCGCGCGCAGCGUGGGAACUGCCUUUGAAACUGGCAAACCGGAGUGUGUGAGAGGAUAGUGGAAUGCCAGGUGUAGGAGUGAAGUCCGUAGAUAUCUGGAGGAACAUCAGUGGCGAAGGCGACUAUCUGGCACAUAACUGACGCUGAGGAGCGAAAGCGUGGGUAGCAAACAGGAUUAGAUACCCCGGUAGUC